AGAAAUUUUUAUAAAACUUAAUUAAAUCAAAUAAAGAAGGUUAAACCCAAAACAAAUUGUGAUGGAAAUAACUUAGUUGAAUGGUCUGUUUAUGCGCUUCGAUAAAAUAAAAGUAGGCUGUAUAAAACAAAUUGCGUUGCUAAGAACAAUAUUUUGCGUUGCUAAGAAGCCGAUUUUGACGUUUAAAUCAACUUUCAAUGCAUUAGUGUUAUUGUUAACAAUUAAAAAUGGCUCGUGGUAAGGCUGUCUCUGACGAAAUAAGAAAAGUGAUCAUUCACUUGCAUUUAAAAGGUCAAAAUGCUUCCUAAAUCGCUGACAGUAUUAACAAAUCGAGGUAUACAGUUCGAAAUAUUAUUAAAUUGUACAAAAAAACGGGAUCUGUUGCUCAAAAACCCAGAAUUGGAACACGACCACAUUAUUCCAACACCAACUUAAGAACCUUAAAACGGAUUAUCAAAUCGGCGUGCUAAUUACAACGAAUUGAAAUUAUUGUGGAAUCAGGCAACAACAAAAAAGUUUUCAAGAGUAACCUGUCACAGAGCCGCCCAAAAACUGGGAUUUAAAACUUACAAGGCAAAAGAGAAACCCCUACUGACAAAAAUUCAGAAGAAAAACAGGCUAGCGUGGGCUAAAGAACACAAAUUAUGGUCUUCGAACCAAUGGAACUCGAUUAUUUGGAGUGAUGAAGCCAGAUUUGUAUUAAUGAAUGACUUAAAAAAAAAGUUAAGUUUCCGCCUUAUGUUAUGAUCUGGGGAUCGAUGUCAGCAAGUGAAGUAGGAAACUUACACUUUGUGGAAGCUAUUAUGCAUGCUGAUAAGUACAUUAAUGUGCUUGAAAAUAACCUAAUACCCCAAAUUGAACAAAUGCGUUUAAACAAUAUCGAAUGUAUCUUCCAACAAGAUGGUGCCGCUUGCCAUACGGCUAAAAAAGUAAAAGAUUGGAUGUUAGAAAACAUAAUUCCAGUUUUAAAGUGGAAGUCGAGUAGUCCAGAUCUAUCGCCGAUUGAAACCUUGUGGCAUAUCAUGAAGAAGAAGCUCAGAUCGAAUCCCGCAAGAACCGUUCCAGAAUUGCGAACCCGUCUCCAAGAAAUUUGGAAUAGUUUUACACCAGAUGACUGUCAAACAUUAGUUGUCACUAUGUUAAGACGUAUUAAAGCAGUAAUCAGUCGAAAAGGCGAUGUAACGCAGUGGUAAUUUGCUGCUAUUUGGUUUUGUUGAUUUUUAUUAAUCGACAGAUUUUUUGAAUUUUUGUAAGAUAUUUUUCCUCAGUUAUAAAACAUGUAGUAUUUUAAGCUAAUAUUAAAUAAAAAGAUCAUAUGUUAUCAGAAAUACCUUUUAGUUUUUAAUACGUUUUCGCUAAUAUGUCAAAUUUCAUAAAAAAUCCUAGUUUUGAUAGUUGGGCCAACUUCACUGAGACAGGGCUCGUAUGUACCCGGAGAGGCUUAUUACACGUUCGAUAGUAAGCAAAAUUGAAAAAAAGCUUAGAGAUUUUGGUCAUGUUAGAGACAAAUAUGAGGUGGACCAUCCCACGCUUCCAGAAAACAGACAAUUAGAUAUUUUGCUCGAUUUACAAGAAAAUCCACAUAAAUCAACUCGAGUUGCUGCAGAUCACUCGGUUAGUAAAUCAUGUGUUCUAAAAUAUUGGCAUUUAUAUAAAAUUAAUUUAAUUCAGGAGCUUAUUGAAAAUUAUCACAUCCGCAGAAUAGAGUUUUGCGAAAUAAUGAUGAAUUUUUAAGUAAGAUUGUUUUUUCCGACGAGGCAAGUUUUUUUUUAAUGGCUCUGUAAAUAGGCAAAAUUUUCGUUAUUGGGCACCAGAAAAUCCAUACUGGAGUAUGUAAAGUGACACACAAUUUCCUAAGAAGUUAAACGUGUGGGCAGGAAUUGUGGGCACGUCAAUUGUGGGUCCCUAUUUUAUUGAGGGCGCACUUACUUCUGAAAAAUAUUUAGAGUUGCUUCAAAAUCAGAUAAUACCUAAUUUAAUUGCACUUUAUCCAAAUGGUGAAAACCCAUUUAAACCGGCAGAUUCGAUAUAGUUCCAACAGAAUGACGCCCCCCACACUAUUCGCGAACAGUACGAGAUUACCUUACCAACAUUUUCCCAAAUAGAUGGACUGGAAGGGGGGGUUUUAUUGAAUGGCCAGCAAGGUCGCCAGAUUUAACCCCAUUGGAUUUUUAUCUAUGGGGUUAUCUAAAAUCUAAAGUUUAUUUUGCAGCCUGAAGAAUUAAAAAAUAGAAUUAGAGCCGAAAUACAACGA
rnacentral:lncRNA from 1 species